AGCGAACGCUGGCGGCAGGCUUAACACAUGCAAGUCGAGCGGGCAUCCUUGUGGUGUCAGCGGCAGACGGGUGAGUAACGCGUGGGAACGUGCCCUUCGGUUCGGAAUAACUCAGGGAAACUUGAGCUAAUACCGGAUACGUGCGAGAGCAGAAAGGUUUAUCUGCCGAAGGAUCGGCCCGCGUCUGAUUAGCUAGUUGGUGAGGUUAUGGCUCACCAAGGCGACGAUCAGUAGCUGGUCUGAGAGGAUGAUCAGCCACACUGGGACUGAGACACGGCCCAGACUCCUACGGGAGGCAGCAGUGGGGAAUAUUGGACAAUGGGGGCAACCCUGAUCCAGCCAUGCCGCGUGAGUGAUGACGGCCUUAGGGUCGUAAAGCUCUUUUCUCCGGGACGAUAAUGACGGUACCGGAGGAAUAAGCCCCGGCUAACUUCGU
rnacentral:rRNA from 1 species